GGUCCCAUCGUCUAGUGGUUAGGACAUCAGGUUUUCAUCCUGACAACAGGAGUUCGAUUCUCCUUGGGAUCACCA
rnacentral:tRNA from 1 species